CUUACUCAAAAUGAUAUAAUCGGAUAUAUCAUCUCCCUCUUCAUGACAAUUGUGACCCCAAAUCGCCCUGCUUUGUUUCUGUUUCUGUUUCACAUCCCUUCUUUGCCACCACAACUAAGACCUCGAUCUGCAUCGCGCACAUGGUAGAGAUCCUCCACCGUGAUCAUGACAUUGCCACCGCAAAAUUGCUCUCUGCCCCCGCGUAAACCGCCAUCCCCAAAAUAAACCUGCGUCGUAGGUACCCAAACCUAUCAACUCCAACAUCGGUGUGAUGUUCUUUUCUACUGCACUCGGAGUCACGACAUUGUCAUGCGCGACGUCACCAAUGCAAUCACCAUGAAAUCGGAAGCACCGUCAAAUCCACUCCGAACUAGUUUGUGAGACCCUUCUCCCUCACAUUGUUGUUGUUGUUUUUGAUACAGAUUUGUUCAAGAUUUUUUCCCCCUCCCCUUGAUUUUUGUUACUGAUUCAAGAUCAAUUUUCCAAGAUCUUUUUCCCCCUCCCCUUGUUUUCAACUGUUUUCUUGUUGUUUUGGUAACGGUGGUUAAAAGAGGAAGAUGAAGGUGGCGGGGCGAGGGCGACACUGAUGUUGUCAAGAACGAGCCAUGGAUGUGAAAUAAUGAAUGAGUUUGAACUCUGAAGGAAAGGAGAAGAAUAAAUGCCAAAAAUCACCUCCUGCAACCAGUGCAAUUGUUGGCGAUGAGGUUCACAGGGGAGAGAGUAGGGGAAAAACAGUAC
rnacentral:lncRNA from 1 species